rnacentral:rRNA from 1 species
AGGGAACAUUACUGAGUGCGAGGCUGCCUCCGGGCGCCCACCUCCCACCCGUGACUACCUAACACUGUUGCUUCGGCGGGGAGCCCUCUCGGGGGCGAGCCGCCGGGGACUACUGAACUUCAUGCCUGAGAGUGAUGCAGUCUGAGUCUGAAUAUAAAAUCAGUCAAAACUUUCAACAAUGGAUCUCUUGGUUCCGGCAUCGAUGAAGAACGCAGCGAACUGCGAUAAGUAAUGUGAAUUGCAGAAUUCAGUGAAUCAUCGAGUCUUUGAACGCACAUUGCGCCCCCUGGCAUUCCGGGGGGCAUGCCUGUCCGAGCGUCAUUGCUGCCCAUCAAGCCCGGCUUGUGUGUUGGGUCGUCGUCCCCCCCGGGGGACGGGCCCGAAAGGCAGCGGCGGCACCGUGUCCGGUCCUCGAGCGUAUGGGGCUUUGUCACCCGCUCGAUUAGGGCCGGCCGGGCGCCAGCCGACGUCUCCAACCAUUUUCUUCAGGUUGACCUCGGAUCAGGUAGGGAUACCCGCUGAACUAAACCUAUCAAUAACGGAGGAA